rnacentral:rRNA from 1 species
UCAAGUUUAUUAAGGGUGCAGGGCGGAUGCCUUGGCACUAGGAGCCGAUGAAGGACGCGAUAAGCUGCGAUAAGCUUCGGGGAGUUGCACGUAAACUUUGAUCCGAAGAUUUCCGAAUGAGGAAACUCACUUAGAGUAAUGUCUAAGUAUUUGUUAAGUGAAUACAUAGCUUAAUGAGGGGAACCCGGGGAACUGAAACAUCUAAGUACCCGGAGGAAAAGAAAGAAAUUCGAUUCCGUAAGUAGCGGCGAGCGAACGCGGAACAGGCCAAAACCAAUGAAGUUUACUUCGUUGGGGUUUGAGGACAUGCAACAUGGAUGCAAUAUUGUAAGCGAAGAGAGUUGGAAAGCUCCGCCAUAGAAGGUAAUAGCCCUGUAGUUUGAAACGAGAAAGCUACUAGCAUGAUCCAGAGUACACCGGGACACGUGAAACCCUGUGGGAAGCAGGAGGGACCCAUCCUCCAAGCCUAAAUACUACCUAGUGACCGAUAGCGCAUAGUACCGUGAGGGAAAGGUGAAAAAGAACCCCGGGAGGGGAGUGAAAUAGAACCUGAAACCCUGCCACUUACAAGCUGUGGGAGCACUUUUUUAUGUGUGACCGCGUACUUUUUUGUAGAACGGGGCCAACGAGUUACGUUAAGUAGCAAGGUUAAGCACUUAAGGUGUGGAGCCGUAGCGAAAGCGAGUCUUAAAUGGGCGCUUAAGUUACUUGACGUAGACCCGAAACCGGGCGACCUAUCCAUGAGCAGGUUGAAGCGAAAGUAAAAUUUCGUGGAGGACCGAAACCCACGAGCGUUGAAAAAGCUCGGGGAUGACUUGUGGAUAGCGGGUGAAAUUCCAAUCGAGCCCGGAGAUAGCUGGUUCUCCCCGAAAUAGCUUUAGGGCUAGCCUCAAGCGUAGAGAGGCGGAGGUAGAGCACUGAAUGUCCUAGGGGGUAUUGCACUUACCGAAGACUAUCAAACUCCGAAUGCCGUUUUCUUUUACUUGGGAGUCAGACUGUGGGUGAUAAGAUUCAUAGUCAAAAGGGCAACAGCCCAGAUCGUCAGCUAAGGUCCCUAAAUGUACGUUAAGUGGUAAAGGAUGUGGGAUUGCACAGAACAACCAGGAUGUUGGCUUAGAAAGCAGCCACUCAUUUAAAGAGUGCGUAAUAGCUCACUGGUCGAGUGAUCCUGCGCCGAAAAUUUCCGGGGCUAAAAACGUACUACCGAAGCUACGAUAUCAGCAAUGAUAGGUAGGGGAGCUUCGUAUACAGGCUGAAGCAUGACCGUAAGGACAUGUGGACAGUAUACGAGUGAGAAUGUUGGCAUGAGUAAGCGAGACGUGGGUGAGAAUCCCACGGGCCGUAAACCCAAGGUUUCCAGGGGAAGGUUCGUCCGCCCCUGGGUUAGUCAGGACCUAAGCCGAGGCCGAAAGGCGUAGGUGAUGGACAACAGGUUGAUAUUCCUGUACCGCCAAUAAGCGUUUGAGAAAUGGGAUGACACAGUAGGAUAAGCUAACCACACUGUUGGUUAUGUGUGGCUAAGUACUGAGGCAGUCAAGAUAGGCAAAUCCGUCUUGAUGUUAAUGCUGGGGUACGAUGGGGAGCGAAAUUAAGUAGCGAAGUAGCUGAUUUCACACUGUCGAGAAAAGUCUCUAUCGAGUUUAAAGGCGCCUGUACCUCAAACCGACACAGGUGGGUGAGGAGAGUAUCCUAAGGCCAGCGAGAGAACUAUUGUUAAGGAACUCGGCAAAAUGACCCCGUAACUUCGGGAGAAGGGGUGCCAUCUUCGGAUGGCCGCAGAGAAUAGGCCCAAGCGACUGUUUACCAAAAAACACAGGUUUCUGCUAAGUCGCAAGACGAUGUAUAGGAGCUGACGCCUGCCCGGUGCUGGAAGGUUAAGGGGAUCUGUUAGAGCAAUCGAAGCAGUGAACUUAAGCCCAGUAAACGGCGGCCGUAACUAUAACGGUCCUAAGGUAGCGAAAUUCCUUGUCGGGUAAGUUCCGACCCGCACGAAAGGCGUAACGAUUUGGGCACUGUCUCAAACAAUAGACUCGGUGAAAUUGUAAUCCCGGUGAAGAUGCCGGGUACCUGCGACAGGACGGAAAAGACCCCAUGGAGCUUUACUGUAGCUUGACGUUGGGUCUUGGUACUACAUGUACAGGAUAGGUGGGAAACUAUGAAGCAUGGACGCCAGUCUGUGUGAAGUUUACCUUGGGAUACCACCCUUGUAGUACUGGGAUCCUAACCCAUAGGCCUUGAAUCAGGUCUUGGGACACCGUCAGGUGGGCAGUUUGGACUGGGGCGGUCGCCUCCUAAAGAGUAACGGAGGCGCUCAAAAGGUUCUCUUCAGCACGGUCGGAAAUCGUGCGUAGAGUGUAAAAGGCAGAGAGAGCUUGAUUGCAAGACAUACAGGUCGAGCAAGGGACGAAAGUCGGACUUAGUGAUCCGGUGGUACCGCAUGGAAGGGCCAUCGCUCAACGGAUAAAAGCUACCCUGGGGAUAACAGGGCUUAUCUUCCCCCAAGAGUCCACAUCGACGGGGAGGUUUGGCACCUCGAUGUCGGCUCAUCACAUCCUGGGGCUGUAGUAGGUCCCAAGGGUUGGGCUGUUCGCCCAUUAAAGUGGUACGCGAGCUGGGUUCAGAACGUCGUGAGACAGUUCGGUCCCUAUCCGUCGCAGGCGUAGGAAAUUUGAGGAGACCUGUCCUUAGUACGAGAGGACCGGGAUGGACGUACCUCUGGUGUACCAGUUGUUCUGCCAAGGGCAUCGCUGGGUAGCUAUGUACGGGAAUGGAUAAGCGCUGAAAGCAUCUAAGCGCGAAGCCGACUUCAAGAUAAGAUUUCCCACCGUAAGGGUAAGACCCCAGGAAGACUACCUGGUUGAUAGGUCGAAGGUGUAAGUGCAGUAAUGUAUUUAGCUUACCGAUACUAAUAGGUCGAGGACUUGACCAA